rnacentral:rRNA from 1 species
GACAGGUGCUGCAUGGCUGUCGUCAGCUCGUGUCGUGAGAUGUUGGUUAAGUCCCGCAACGAGCGCAACCCUUGUCAUUAGUUGCUACGAAAGGGCACUCUAAUGAGACUGCCGGUGACAAACCGGAGGAAGGUGGGGAUGACGUCAAGUCCUCAUGGCCCUUAUGGGUAGGGCUUCACACGUCAUACAAUGGUCGGGACAGAGGGUCGCCAACCCGCGAGGGGGAGCCAAUCCCAGAAACCCGAUCGUAGUCCGGAUUGCAGGCUGCAACUCGCCUGCAUGAAGUCGGAAUCGCUAGUAAUCGCGGAUCAGCAUGUCGCGGUGAAUACGUCCCUGCUCCUU